CUCCAGGCCCAGAUGAUUUCAUUGGAAAGUUCUAUCAAAUGUUUUAAAAAGCGCUGACACCAAUUCUAUACAAUCCGCUUUAGAAAACAGAAGAGAAAGGAAUACUUUCCAGUUCAUUUUGAAGCUAGUAUUACCCUGAUACCACCAACCAGUAUGUCGCAUUAAAACAGAUGCAAAAAUCCUUAACAAAAUAUUAGCCAAAAGAAUUAAGCUAUAUAUACAAAGAUACACCACGACCAAGUGGAGUUUAUCUCAGGGAUGUAACAAUGGCUCAACAUUCAAAAAUCAAUCAAUGUAUCUACCACAUGAAUGGGCUAAAGAAGAAAAAUGGCAUUAUGUAAAUUAAGGCAGAAAAAGCAUUUGACAAAAUUCAACAUAAAAUUCAUAAUAAAAACUUGCAGAAAAAAAGGAAUAAAAGAUAACUUCCUUAACUUUAGCAAGAGCAUCUACUUUAAAAACCUACAGCUAACAUUAUACUUCAUGGUGAAACACUGAAUCCUUUCUGCCUAAGACCAGAAACAAGCCAAGGAUCUCUACUCUCACUGCUUUUAUUUCUGCUGGAAUUUCUACCCACUGCAUUAAGGGACUGAAAGGAAAAAAAAAAGGAAUAUAGGUCAGAAAUGAAGAGAUAAAACUAUUCAUUAUUUGCAGAUGACAUGACUAUCUAUAUAAAAAAAAAAUCCCAAGGAAUCAAUCAAAAUCCCCUAAAAUGAGUAAGUGGGCUCAAUAAGGUCUCAGUAUACAAAAUAGAAAAAUUCACUUUAUUUCUAUGUACUUAGAAUAGACAUGUGAACAGGAAAUUCAAAAUACAAUGCCAUUUACAAUCUCUCUCAAAAAUUAAAUUGCUUAGGUAUAAAUCUAACAAAACAUGUACAGACCUUGUAUGCUGAAAACCACACAAUACUGAUGAAGGAAAACAAAAUUUAACUGAAAUGAAGUGAAGUGAUCCUGUGAUCAUGAUCGGGAAGGCUUAACAUGGUAAAGAUGUCAAAUCUCCCCAAAUUGAUGUAUAGGUAUAACAUAGUUCCUGUCAAAAUCCCAGUAAGAUAUUUGAAUAGAUACAGACAAGAUUAUUCCAAAGUUUAUACGGGAAGACAAAGGAACUAAGUGGCUAAAACAAUUUUGAAAAAGAAAGUGGAAUAAACCAGCCUAUUUGAUUUCAAGACUUACUACAGUAAUCAAGAUUUUGGUGUUGGUGGAGGUAUAGACACAUAGUCUAAUGGAAAAGAAUAGAAAACCCAGAUAUAGACCCACACGAAUGUGCCCAACUGAUUUCUCAUUAACUCAUUUUUGCUCAACUGAUUUUUGACAGAGGUGCAAAAACAAUUCAAUGGACAAAAAAGAGCCUUUUCGACAAAUAUCAUGUUGGAGUAAUUGAAUAUCCAUAGGCAACAACAAAAAAAAUGAACCCAGACCUAAGUCUCACAUUUUAUACAAAAUUAACUGAAAAUGGAAUAUAGACUUAAAAGUAAAACGUAAACUAUAAUACUUUUAGAAAACAACAUAAAAGAGAAAAUUUGGGGGAUCUAAGGAGAGAGGCAAAGUUCUUGAUACCAGAAGCAUGAUCCAUAAAAAGAAAAAUGGAUAGAGUGGACUUCAUCAAAAUUAAACACUUCUGCUCUGUGAAAGGCCCAGAAAAGAGAAAUGAAAAGACAUGCUACUGACUGGGAGGAAAUAUUUGCAAAUCACACAUCCAACAAAGGACUAGUAUCUAGAAAAAAAUACACACACACACACACAGAGGCACACACACACAUUAUUUAAAAGCCCUCAAAACUCAACAGAAAAAAAAUCCAAUUAGAAAAGACAUGAAGAAACAUGUCACUAAAGAAGAGAUACAGGUGGCAAAUAAGCAUAUGAAACAAAGAUGCUCAACAUCAUUGCCAUUAGCGAAGGGAAAAUGGUAAAUCAAAACUGCAAUGAGCUGUCACUAUACACUUAUCAGAAUGACUAAAAUAAAAAAGAGACACCACCAAAUGCUGAAAAGGACAUGAAGCAACUAGAUCACUCAUACACCACUGGUGGGUAUAUAAAAUAGUACAGCUACUUGGUAUAAGUUUGGCAAUUUCUUAAAAACUAAACAUUCAACUACUAUAUGACCCAACUACUAUAUAACUGCUGGGCAUUUGACCCAGAAAACUAGAUUAUGUUCACACAAAAACUUGUACACAAAUGUUUAUAGCAACUUUAUUUAUAGUAGCCAAAAACUGGCCCAAUGUCUCUCAGCAGGUGAACAGUUAAACAAACUGUGGUACAUCUAUACUAUGGGAUUCUAUUCACACUAAAAAGUACCUGUCAAUAGACUUGAUACACAUAAUAAGCUGGAUUAACCUCCAGAAAAUCAUGCUAAAUGAAAAAAAGCCAAUCCCAAAAGGUUACAUAUUAUUAUGAUUCCAGUUAUACAGCUUUAUUGAAAUGAAAAAAAAAAAAACUAUAAAAAUGGAGAACAGAUUAUGGUUGCCAAGGGUUAAGAAGGGAGUAGGGAUGGGAGUGAAGUGGGUAUGGUCAUCAAAAGCAAGAUGAGGGAUCCCUGUGCUAGAAAAAGUUCUGUGUGGAAACGUUCUCUAUCUUAGCUAUACCAGUGUCAGUAUCCUGGGUAUGAUAUUGUAUGACAGUUUUGAAAGAUGUUCACUGUGUGGGAAACAAAGUGAAAGGUACACGAAAGAGGUCUCUGUAUUAUUUCUUACAACAGCAUGUGAAUCUAGUUUCUCAAAAAAAAUUUAAAACAACAUAGAAAAUUUCUAAAUGACUAAGAAAAAUGUUUGACCACAGAUCAGGAAAAGACAUAAGGACAAUAGGGUAGCCCUAAUUUUGAACAAAAAAUGUUUGUUUAUUGCCUCCAAGAUAGAACAUGAAUUUCUUGAACAAGAAAUGUUUAUUGCCUCCAAGAUAGAACUAACGUGAAUGAUAUAUAACUAAGGUUAUCUUACUAUUAGCAAAUUUUGGUAUAUACCCACUGCAAAAUAGUACUUAAAUGUUAAAACUAUGAUAACCUUUAUGAGGCUGAACAUUAAAUCUGGCCCUGGGAAGAGGUUGGAUGUGGCCUGAGGCACAUUGAAAAUGCCUCGAAAUGAACUCAAAACGACCACAGUACCUAGGUUUGAGAUAAGAAUGAAAUAAAAUAUAUUCCCCAUUAAAAUCUUGCUUAUUUUUAGAAUCAUUACUGACAGAAGGAUCAGCUUUGAUCUGAGAGCUUUUCACCGUCAAGUUUUUAGCUAUACAAGUUAUUAAAAAAGCAAAAGCUUGCAUCUUACUUGGAUUAAAAACCUAAUUUCUAGAAAACAGGUUCUCUUCUUUCUGGUCUGAGUUUAACAUUUCAGAUCUCCCAUUAAACAACUGAUCAAAAAACUUUCAGAGGGCAUUAAAAAGUGAAACUAGGUAUCAGAAAAAUCUUAGUCGAGGCUAAAUAACUGCAUUUAUAAGCUUUCUACCAAUGCUAUUAGGUGUUGGAGUUAGUAACUACUGCCUAACGAUACUUACAGUAAACACUUAAAAAUUUGUACUUUGGGUUGGCCAAAGUGGGAAUUAAUGCCCUUUCAAGUUUAUUUAAAGAUUCAAUUCAGUUCUAGAAAACUCCCUCGUCAACAAGUAGAGGUGUUGUGCGUGUAACGACUGGACAGGAAAUCUGGUUUUGCCUUCCACCACUUACAUUUUAAGCAUAAAUGCCAUCACUACACAAAACCUACGGGAAUCCCACUCUAAGCAAUUAAGUGACCAACCUCUUAAAAACUUGCCAGAAGCUACAGUGUCUACAAAAACCUAUUUAGUGUGUUAUUUAGCUCUAUUUCUGCAUUUAAAAUUAGGAUUAUUUGGAGAAAAAUAUUACAUAAUAUUCAUGUUAACCAAAUGAUUACAAAAACAAAGAAUUAAAAUUGGUGUAUUGAUAUGGUAUUUGAAUAAUGAGAAAAUGGGCCAAUAGGAAGAUUUUCUUCUUUAUUCCUAUUUGAUUUAAAAGAAAAAGAUUUGCCAAGGGAUGGGUAGGGUUAAAUUAAAAACAUUUUAAGAAACAUUUCUUUAUAUGGAGCAUACUUACUGUUUUUGCUUUGAGUGCAUUCUGAUGAAAUAUAGAUUCCAAAUUCCCCUUGGAUCUCACCCUUCUGUCUAGUGCUUUGCCCUCUAUUUGGGGCAGUAAUUCUAUACAUAUCCUGUAAAUGUCUGUCCUGAUGAUCAGGAUGCCCAAGCUCUGAAUCCAACUGCUGCCACCAAGAGAACGGCUCCUUUUUGGAGCCAUUACACACAGAUCAUCACUCAAAUCAGUAGUUUCUCUUUAGAAAACUAGCAAUUUUCUGGUAGUCUGUCAAUUAAGAAAAGAAAAUGAAAUUCAGUUACUUAGUAAGGAAAACUGGAUAAACAGGAGGCUGGUCCAAACGGAGAUUUAUAUUUAGACAUUCCCUUUCUUCCUUGCCUCAUUCCUUUCACACAGCUAUUUCCCUUCUUUUAACACACCAAGUUCUUUUUAUAUGCCAAAUAACAAAACAUAAACUCCCUGAGGGCAGGAAGCUUAUUCUUUUGGUUCACUCUUAGAACACUAUGCCCAGGCAUGUAGUAGCCUGGCAAAAAGCCGGCCCCAAAUAAGUGCCAAAUUAAGUAUUUAUUAAGCAACUACUACGGGAGGGAAGGAAGAAGGGAAGGAAGGAAGGAAACUGUGUUAAGUCCUGGGGCCCCAGAAGCUUAGUAUAUGUAUUUUUUAUUUUGGUUGGAAAAAAAUGACUUGCUUACCAUCUAGAGCCAAUGCUUCUAAAUUUUUCCAUCAAAGAAUCUUUAAUGAAAGUGAGGAAAAUUCUGAGGCUUCCACUUCACGUGGUUUGAACUGUACAUCUCAGUGUUUGUUUCACAAUUAUGCUAGACUGUCAACUCACUUCUCUUUCUAGAAUGUCCUCUGCAGUGCAGGUAGACCAGAAACCACACUUCCCACAAACUCCUUCUGUCUCUGGUUCUAAGUUGAGAGUUGACCAUGAGAAAAGGAGAGACCAUCUUUCCUCAGAGGCCACUGCAGACAGAAGUGUAGGCGGGCAGAGGACAUGAGUUUCACAGCAGUUUCAAAAUCUCUUGCAAGGCACUGGCUUUGGAGCUAUUAACAGCUGACAGCUGGGGACAGCUCCCUGAGACACACUGUCAGUGCUGCACGCCAACAGCACAGCCUUCUGGAUGUUCUCAAGAGUCACAGCAGUGCCUGGGCCAGCUCCUGAGAUCCACCCACUUUGGGGCCGCAGACACCUUCCUCACCCACCCUUUUGAUGUCUAAUUCCCUAUGUUAAAACACUUUACACUUAUAAUCCAUCAAGUGGUUUCUGUUUUUCUAACUGAAUUGUUAAAAUAUGCAAAAUUCACAUUAAAGAAGUUUCCUACCUAUCUUGUGACCUCAGUGAAUGAGAUGCUGCUUUAUCCAAUCUACUGACUUUGGAAAAUCCAGCUGAAAUGAGGAAAGAUAAUCGUGCAUGUCUGGCAACCAGGUAAUUUCUUUCCUAUCUUUCAUGUCACAGUAUUUUGAGGACACAAAUUCCUAAAUACUCAGAAAAAAAUGGUUUUAUCUUAAUUGAUUUAUAAAUUAUGUUAGGGUAGUUGUUAAACAGAAUUUUGUCAAAGAAGCAGUACACUGUAACACUUUCAGGCUCCCAUUGGUUUAAAAUUUGAUAAGUGUAUUUCUUUGCUGACAAGUCAAACUGUUCAAAUGUUAUGGAGGACUAAAAAGGCCUGGGAUUCACAGGCUCAUUUUUUGUUUUAACUGAAUCAUGAAAAUACACAACUUUUUUUUUUCCAGGAAAGACAGAUGUUAUUUACCACCAAUGAAUUUUUAUCAUAUUUAAAUGAACUUGAAAAUGUCAUUCAACUCAAAUCCCUCAAUCAACUUACUUCAGCCCAUUCUGAAACUUCAUAUUGCAGCAAACCAGCCAUGUGAAAGAAAUAAAUUCAAUUUUGACUUUCAAAAAAAAUAAAUGCUGCAUAAGUUACCCUUGUGGACCUUAGCUAUUAAGGUGGACAAUGACUUUAUUUUCUUUACGUAAGUUUUAUAUUUUAUUAUGACAUUCAUUUUUUCUACAUGAAGACACAAAUAAAAAUUAUACCAACUACAUAAACUAUUUU
rnacentral:lncRNA from 1 species